UCAACAAUUUUACGUAAGAACGUAGUUAUUUACGUAGGUAUUUUGUCAUAUUGCCUUAAGAAUAUAGAAGCACCCUCAUAAACAUGUAAUAUGUUGAAUAAAAAAUGAAUUGAAAUACUUGCGCCUAUUAUAACUCACUAUAGCGAACGGAUCAUCGGUUAUUGGCAUCAGUUAGAAUCAUUAUUUCAACAAUGGCAAGCGAGCGGUGGAAGGACGAUAUCGCAUAUGCGAUGACUCCUAUCAAAUUGAUUACUUGGCCCAUUGGCGUUUGGCCGCUGCAAGUCUAUAACUUUUAUUCGAUAUUACGCAGUAUCUUUGGUAUCUGUCUUUCGGGCAUAGUAAUGAUCUUACCUCCCAUUGAGGUAUACAUGGGCUGCACUAAUGCGGAAAAGAGUGUAGACUCUAUCAUGUUCACCUUUGCCGGAUUACUUGGUGUGCUGAAGACAAUAUGGUUCCGUAUCUAUGCAAACAAUUUAAUUAACAAUUAUAAAUCUGCUGUUAAGGAUUAUAUAGCAAUUAAGAAUGUAGAAGAACGUAUAAUUAUGCGAAAACAUGUUUUCAUGUCAAGGAUCGCUUCAUUUCCUCUGUUGUUUUGUUCUUAUUAUGCUGCAGUAGUUUUUACAUUAACAGCUCUUAUGAUGAAUCAUGAUGAAAGAAACGUAACGGAUGAAAACAUGAUGUUGGAAUAUCCAUUGCCAUCAAAAUGUACUCUGAAAUACUUUCAUGCUCCAACAAGCAUGUACAAAAUAUUUUUCAUCAUACAAUCUAUGUCACUAAUAAUAGUGUCUAAUUGCAAUAAAGGUAGCGACGCACUAUUUAUCAACAUUAUAUUACAUAUCUGUGGUCAAAUGAAAAUUCUAAGGUCUCAUUUCGCCAAUGUAGAUGCUACAAAUUCGCAAAUUUAUGAUCGUUUCAAGAAACUUAUACAGAGACAUAUUUACUUAAUAGAAAUGACAAGGAAACUUGUUGAUGUUAUGAGUUUUAUUUUAUUACUAGAACUCUUUAUUACUAGUAUAUGUUUAUGCGUAAUGGGAUUUCAGUUCAUUGUAGCAUUGAAAGAAAAGGAUGUAGUUAAAAUGGCACAAAGUUUAAUGGUGCAAAUUGUUUUUUUGGUCACUCUAUCAGUGUACAGUUUUAUCGGAAGAUAUCUAAAGUCCCAAAUGGAAGACAUAGGAUAUUCCAUUUAUCAAAUUGCUUGGUAUGAAUUUCCUAUGAAACUGACAAGGAAUCUAGUUUUCAUCUUUAUGCAAACAGAAGGUCCAGCCAUGCUUCAAGCUGGGAAUUUUAUUGUGUAUGUCAACUGCGAUGAUCUACAAUAUAAAGAAAAGAGUGAACGCGCUAUGUAUUUUCACUUUGGACAGACUGAAAUUAUAAUAUAUAACCGAAUAAAUGUUGAGAUGAAAUAAAAUGUAGUAAAUGCGUAUACAGCAAGAUGCACACAAUUUCUUGUAAUAUUUUACGCCAAAAAGGGAUGGUUGAGCGAUGGACGUCAAUUUCGAAACUUUGUCAUAUAAAUUUUUAUUCAAGGACAAUUUUACGUAAACGCGUAGUUUGUAUUUACAUUUCAUAAUGCCUUAGGAAUAUAAAAGCAGACUGAUAAACAUGAGCAUCGAGACAGUUUGAGAAGCACAAAUAUUUC
rnacentral:misc_RNA from 1 species